rnacentral:rRNA from 1 species
AGUCGAACGGUAACAGGAAGCAGCUUGCUGCUUCGCUGACGAGUGGCGGACGGGUGAGUAAUGUCUGGGAAACUGCCUGAUGGAGGGGGAUAACUACUGGAAACGGUAGCUAAUACCGCAUAACGUCGCAAGACCAAAGAGGGGGACCUUCGGGCCUCUUGCCAUCGGAUGUGCCCAGAUGGGAUUAGCUAGUAGGUGGGGUAACGGCUCACCUAGGCGACGAUCCCUAGCUGGUCUGAGAGGAUGACCAGCCACACUGGAACUGAGACACGGUCCAGACUCCUACGGGAGGCAGCAGUGGGGAAUAUUGCACAAUGGGCGCAAGCCUGAUGCAGCCAUGCCGCGUGUAUGAAGAAGGCCUUCGGGUUGUAAAGUACUUUCAGCGGGGAGGAAGGCGACAGGGUUAAUAACCCUGUCGAUUGACGUUACCCGCAGAAGAAGCACCGGCUAACUCCGUGCCAGCAGCCGCGGUAAUACGGAGGGUGCAAGCGUUAAUCGGAAUUACUGGGCGUAAAGCGCACGCAGGCGGUCUGUCAAGUCGGAUGUGAAAUCCCCGGGCUCAACCUGGGAACUGCAUUCGAAACUGGCAGGCUAGAGUCUUGUAGAGGGGGGUAGAAUUCCAGGUGUAGCGGUGAAAUGCGUAGAGAUCUGGAGGAAUACCGGUGGCGAAG